rnacentral:rRNA from 1 species
GACGAACGCUGGCGGCGUGCUUAACACAUGCAAGUCGAACGAUAAAUCAAGAACCGAGUUUUUCGGAAUGAGGGGAAGGAUGGAAAGUGGCGAACGGGUGAGUAACGCGUGGGGAACCAACCUUGAACUGGGGGACAACACCGGGAAACCGGUGCUAAUACCGCAUAUAUCCGGACAUGGCAUCAUGACCGGAGGAAAGGCUUCGGCCGGUUUGAGACGGACCCGCGUCCAAUUAGCUAGUUGGUAGGGUAAUGGCCUACCAAGGCGACGAUUGGUAGCCGGGCUGAGAGGCUGAACGGCCACAUUGGGACUGAGACACGGCCCAGACUCCUACGGGAGGCAG